UGCCUAACACAUGCAAGUCGAGCGAGGAGAUCCUUCGGGAUGAUCCUAGCGGCGGACGGGUGAGUAACACGUGGGCAACCUGCCUCAUAGAGAGGAAUAGCCUUCCGAAAGGGAGAUUAAUACCUCAUAACAUUGCAGUUUCGCAUGGAACAGCAAUUAAAGGAGUAAUCCGCUAUGAGAUGGGCCCGCGGCGCAUUAGCUAGUUGGUGAGGUAACGGCUCACCAAGGCGACGAUGCGUAGCCGACCUGAGAGGGUGACCGGCCACAUUGGGACUGAGACACGGCCCAGACUCCUACGGGAGGCAGCAGUGGGGAAUAUUGCACAAUGGGGGAAACCCUGAUGCAAGCAACGCCGCGUGAGUGAUGACGGCCUUCGGGUUGUAAAGCUCUGUCUUCAGGGACGAUAAUGACGGUACCUGAGGAGGAAGCCACGGCUAACUACGUGCCAGCCGCAGC
rnacentral:rRNA from 1 species